rnacentral:snoRNA from 1 species
GUUCCAUGAUGAUUCUCCCAUGCGUGUCAUCUGACCCCCCCCAUUUAUCCUCCCCCCUGGCCUGCGUUCUGCUGGGCAGGGGGGGAGGAAUCCCAAGGGGAAAGUGAUCAUACCUGGAUAAC